CAGCCUCCAGUAAAUGCAAUUUCUCUAACUUCAAACGUGCAUUAAUAGUUUAUUACCAAAACAACAUAACCACUGUGGUAAUUUAAACCACUUUAUUAAUAUAGAUAAAAUAUGUUUUUGACUUUCCUUCCCCUUUAACGAUAAUUAUUUUUUGUAUAUGAAUCAUCUAGCUAUAAGGAUGUGCAUUAUGUUACAUAAGUAUGUCUUUCUCGUGUGUUUUUGUUAUUUAUUCUACAUUUUAAUACAUUUUUAUCUUUUAACGGUAUCCGUUAUCUUUUCGCAAUCAUAUUUAAUUCGAAUCCAAAAUCAAACGAGAAAUAGUGUAUUACCUGACGCCAGGAAUUUGCAUCAUGAUUUCAACCAGAACAAAAAUUAUUUCGGCGCUUUUCACUAUAGUUGCGAGUUAAGUGCACUGUAAUUGCUUCGAUGCAAUAUUAUAAUUUAUAUAGUUUCGUUUGAUAUAUAUAUAGUUUAGGCUGACACUACGUUGUUCAUAUGUGUGUAAUUUUGAAUUGGAUUUUGCAUCAUGUGCAAUUGCUCAACCUUGUUCAUUUCAAAUCCAUUUUAGACACACUUUUUUUUUUUUUUUAAAGAAAAACAAAUGUUUUGCGGGUGAUUUUUUAGACGUGCACCAACUUGUUUCUAAGACCCUCAUUCGUUUGCUUAUAACUAAUCUGAAAUUAAAAUAUUCUAAACCUUU
rnacentral:sRNA from 1 species